CAAAAACAUAGCCAUUAGAGUUUAUUAUAUGGUAAUUUCUGCUCAAUGAAUCAUUAAAUAGCCGCAGUACUUUGACUGUGCAAAGGUAGCGUAAUCAAUUGGCUUUUAAUUGAAGUCCUGUAUGAAAGAACUAAUAAGGGGCAACUGUCUCAAAUGUAUUAUAUAAAUUUACUAAGUAAGUGAAAAUUCUUACACUUUAUUAAUAGACGAGAAGACCCUAGAAAUUUUAAGAAUUUAGAAUUAAUCUUUUUGUUGGGGCAACAUAGUAACAAAAUAAUCUAUUAAAUAGACAUGAAAGGUUUACCUUGAAAGAUUAAAUUACUCUAGGGAUAACAGCAUAAUUUAAUAUAAGUUUGUGACCUCGAUGUUGGAUUAGGGUGUUAACGUUUAAAAGAUAAUUAAUAAAGCUCUGUUCGAGC
rnacentral:rRNA from 1 species